AGAGAGGUAGGUUAUAAAACCGCUGAAUUGUGGUCCCAGAAAUGCUUUAUGCCCUUUCUC
rnacentral:tRNA from 1 species